rnacentral:rRNA from 1 species
CAGUAGCCGCGGUAAUACGAAGGGGGCUAGCGUUAAUCGGAAUUACUGGGCGUAAAGCGUGCGUAGGCGGUUUGUUAAGUCUGUUGUGAAAUCCCCGGGCUCAACCUGGGAAUGGCAAUGGAUACUGGCAAGCUAGAGUGUGUCAGAGGAUGGUGGAAUUCCCGGUGUAGCGGUGAAAUGCGUAGAGAUCGGGAGGAACAUCAGUGGCGAAGGCGGCCAUCUGGGACAACACUGACGCUGAGGCACGAAAGCGUGGGGAGCAAACAGGAUUAGAUACCCGCGUAGUCCCUGUCUCUUAUAC